rnacentral:rRNA from 1 species
UUUAAGGUCUAAUCUGCCCUAUGAAGAAUUAAAUGGCCGCGGUACUUUGACCGUGCAAAGGUAGCAUAAUAAUUAGUUUUUUAAUUGAAAGCUGGAAUGAAUGAUUGGACGAGAAAAUUACUGUCUCAAUUUAAUUUAAUUAGAAUUUUAUUUUUAAGUAAAAAAGCUUAAAUGUUUUUAAAAGACGAGAAGACCCUAUAGAGUUUUAUAUUUAAUUAUUUAUGAAUUUUAUAGGAUUUUUUUAUUUAUAUUUAUUUAAAUAUUUUAUUGGGGCGAUAGAAAAAUAAAACUAACUUUUUUUAAUUGUUAACAUUUAUAUAUGAAAUUUUGAUCCAUUAUUUUUGAUUAUAAGAUUAAAUUACCUUAGGGAUAACAGCGUAAUUUUUUUUUAGAGUUCUUAUCGAAAAAAAAGAUUGCGACCUCGAUGUUGGAUUAAAAUUAAUGUUUGGUGUAGGAGCUAAAUAAUUAGGUCUGUUCGACCUUUAAAAUUUUACA